UACGAAGGGGGCUAGCGUUGUUCGGAAUCACUGGGCGUAAAGCGCACGCAGGCGGAUUGAUAAGUCGGGGGUGAAAUCCCGGGGCUCAACCUCGGAAUUGCCUUCGAUACUGUCUGUCUUGAGUCCGGGAGAGGUGAGUGGAAUUCCUAGUGUAGAGGUGAAAUUCGUAGAUAUUCGGAAGAACACCAGUGGCGAAGGCGGCUCACUGGCCCGGUACUGACGCUGAGGUGCGGAAAGCG
rnacentral:rRNA from 1 species